UACAGCCAUAUCACAUUUAAUCACUGGUUCCCGUAUUAUCACUGAAGUUAAGCAACAUCGAGCCUGGUCAGUACCUAGAUGGGUGACCGCUUGGGAAUACCAGGUGU